UGACAUGACAUUUUCUACUCAUUUACUAAUAUUGAACUAAGAUAUGCAACGUAUAUUCCAAGAUAUUAUUGUUUAAGCAUGACUCCACAUAAGAAUCGUGCAAUAUGAAGAAAAGGUGAUUUAUCAAUAUGCUUGCUAUUUGGUUAUGUGACACAAUUUACCAAGUGAAACUCGCCAAACAUUUUAGUUGUAAUACUGAUGUUUGUCCAUUAAAUCAAAUUGCAACUGUCCACACAUUUCAAACAACUAGAAUUUCUUUUAAACAAUUUCCUUAUAAACUAGUAUAUAAAUAAAGGCAACAGUAGUAUACCGCUGUUCAAAACUCAUAAACCCAUGGACAAAAAACAAAAUCGGGGUAACAAACUAAAACCGAGG
rnacentral:lncRNA from 1 species